CUGCUGACGUCAGCCCUUCAGGUCGCACCUGGCACAAGAAGGUCACUUCCUGCGUGGAUUUCUCCCAUCCCCAGCUUGAGGGCAGAGGAGGUAGUGGGUUGCCAAACGUCUGCCAAAAGUUCCUGUCCACCUGAACCUCGGACUGUGAUCUUAUUUGGAAACAGAGUCUUUGCAGAUGUGAGUAAGGACCUGAAGAUGAUGAGCUCAUCCUGGAUUUCGGGUAGGGCCUCAGUUGAAUGACUGGUGUCCUUAUAAGAAGAGGAGAGGACACAGAGACAUGGAGGGGAGAAGGUUGUUUGAAAGACAGGGGCAGAGGUUGUAAAUCUGCUGCCACAAACCAAGGAGGCAGGAACCGCCAUGAGCUGCAGGAGGUGGCCUCAAAUCCUGUCAGCUGCUCCUGCCCUGUGACCUCACUCAGCUCCGCUUCCCCCAACUCCAGGUCUGGCAGUGCUGCAGGCCUGGAGAUGCUGCAGUCUCCUGGAUGCACAGACUCGCUGGGGCUUCUGCCAGGUCUCCUGCCGUUGACUGUACCUGACCUCAUUGCCAGGAUGGGAAGUUAUCAUUGUGAUGGCCUCUGGAAAUGCAGCUGAAAUGUGUCUCAUAUCACUCUCUGCAUCAUAAUCAUCUGGAUGGUUGUUAAAACUCAGAUUUCUGGACUUCAACUCAACUGGGGUGUAGGUGGGGCCAAGAAUUUGCACUUCUAAGUGGUCCCAGAUGAUGCUGCUGCUGCUGGCACAGGCAUCACACAUGGAGAACUAGAUUUGGGGACAUCGAGCUGAUAGGAGUCAAGGACAGAAAGCUCAGGUCAUUACCCAGUGGCAACUCCAGACAUUUCCCUCCACCACCCUCCUCUGAGGAUGUUCCCUCUUCCCACCCUGUCACUGUCAACUACAUACAUGUUGGUACCCCCCACCCACUGUCAUUUGCAUACAGAGAUCACAGGCAUCUUUGUAUCCCCAAAUUUCAGGUCUUCAGCGUCUCUUUGUGCUCUGCCGUAGGCACACGAUCACCUAGUUUUCACAGCUCCUUUAGUGACUCAUCUCCAGUGAAAUCACACACCUCUCAGCCCUUACAUGCUCCACUCCACUUCCACACCCAAGUCCCAUCUUCACUCUGAUAUUCUCCUGUUCAUAAAUAAGUAACUCAGACCCACCGCAUUCCCAUCACCCAGACCCAUCCCCAGUAAACAACCAUCUUUCCUCCCCGACUCUCUUCCUUCUCUCUUCCAACUCUCCUUGUUAAUCUCAGCUCCACCAUCUGACCUAACACAACAAUUGAUGCUCCUUAGAAGUCAAUCCUGCUCUCACAUUUAUUCCACAUUCACACCCUCUUCCCAUCCAUUUUCCUGGCUUCACAUACCAUUAGCGAACCAGAAAUGCCCAUAGAAUUAGCAUAGACCCUACUUCAACCCUGAGACCCAAAUACUCAUCUGCCUACUCCCUACACCAGUGACAAAUCUCAACUCACAUUGAGCAGGUGCCAAGUUGAACCAACCAGUUCUCCAAAUAAUUCACCCCUCUGUCAAGGUCCCCUAAACUUACUUGUUGGUACUAAUUUCCUGUCUACCCCUGAGUGUCAUUCUGGACACCCUGCCACCCCACACUCAUAUAUCAGUGAGCAAUCCAUCCACCCUCCUGAAUCCACCUACAGAUUCUCAACUUUUGAAUAAUUCUUGAGCACCUUUCAGAUUUCCUACAAAAUACCAUCUCCACAGAGUGCCCUUCCCUGAUCCAGCAAUCAAAAUAAUAUUACAUGUUCUCUGUGUUAAUUGUAUGUGUAUUAUUAUCUGUUUCUUUCGUACUGUUUUCCUCACUAAAUUGGAUACUCCAUGAAGUGAAGACUAGUGUCAACGUUAAUAUUUUGCACUGCUGUAUUCACUUCUUGCUUUGGCCUUAGAAGGUGCAGAUAUAUCUAUUGAAAGAAAUUAUUCAAACUCAAAAAUUACUUUCUAAGUUUUUCAAACAAAUUCACUCAAUUAGAAUUGAAGAAUGACGUAAUCUCUUUUGUGGUGUAUUGCAAAAAAUUAUCAGUAAGAUAGCAAAUCCCUUCUCUGUGUAAUCCAUUAUAAGACUCUACUCCCAAAAAUCUGUUAAAAAUGUAAACCUAAUCAGUACACCUUUCCUUUUAAGCCCCUCAUUUCUGUCUUCAGAAGAUAUUUUUUUAAAGUAAAACCAUAAAUCUCACUUCA
rnacentral:lncRNA from 1 species